UUUUGUUACAGGAAUUUCAUUUGGAAGAAUGAAAUUCUGAUCUGUGCCUCGGUUGCCUCUUGCAGCCAUUAGUAGAAAACUCCCUAUAAUUGAAUCCAUGUGUGAUUGCCAUACUUUUAAAGAUACCAAAUUAGGAAGCUCCUUUUUGGUAUGCUUAUGGCAAUACCACAAUAAUUAGGGAACUAUCUUCCUGCUCUCUUCCCUGCCUACCUCCAUCCCGACAGGUG